rfam:Hordeum vulgare subsp. vulgare, WGS project CAJW01000000 data, contig: morex_contig_1560254
ACAAUCCAGGAUGAUGAGCUGAUCUCCUACCUUCUUCAUGGGCUGGACAUAGACUACCAGCCGCUCGUCUCCGCCCUAGAUGCCUGGGUGACAUCGAUCACCCUCGAUGAGCUCUACGCCAUGCUCAGCAACUUCGAUC